rnacentral:rRNA from 1 species
UACGGGGGGGGCAAGCGUUGUUCGGAAUUACUGGGCGUAAAGGGCUCGUAGGCGGCCAACUAAGUCGGACGUGAAAUCCCUCGGCUUAACCGGGGAACUGCGUCCGAUACUGGAUGGCUUGAGUUCGGGAGAGGGAUGCGGAAUUCCAGGUGUAGCGGUGAAAUGCGUAGAUAUCUGGAGGAACACCGGUGGCGAAGGCGGCAUCCUGGACCGACACUGACGCUGAGGAGCGAAGGCCAGGGGAGCAAACAGG